rnacentral:lncRNA from 1 species
CUUGUCCAUCAACUGCAGAAUGUAGCCCAAAUUGACACGACUGAGAUUCAGGAUCUGAGACAACCGCUUCAUCCAAGCCAGACUCCUUGCUCCCUUGAGCAUCAACUGCAAAAUCCCGCACAAAUUGACCAUCAGACUGAGGUUCAGGACCAGAGACAACAGCUUCAUCCAAGCCAAAAUUCCUACUCCCUUGUGCAUCAACUGCAGGAUCUAGCACAAAUUUACUUUUCGACUGAGGUUCAGGAUCUGAGACAACAGCUUCAUCCAAGCCAGACUCCUUGCUCCCUUGUGCAUCAAAUGUAGAAUCCAGCACUAAUUGCCUUUUGGACCGAGGUGCAGGACCUGAAACAACAGCUUCAUCUAAGCCUAAAUUCUUACUCCCUG